rnacentral:rRNA from 1 species
CCUACGGGAGGCAGCAGUGGGGAAUAUUGCACAAUGGGGGAAACCCUGAUGCAGCGACGCCGCGUGAGUGAAGAAGUAAUUCGUUAUGUAAAGCUCUAUCAGCAGGGAAGAAAAUGACGGUACCUGAGUAAGAAGCCCCGGCUAACUACGUGCCAGCAGCCGCGGUAAGACGUAGGGGGCAAGCGUUAUCCGGAUGUACUGGGUGUAAAGGGAGCGUAGACGGCAGUGCAAGUCUGGAGUGAAAGGCGGGGGCUCAACCCCCGGACUGCUCUGGAAACUGUACGGCUGGAGUGCAGUAGAGGUAAGUGGAAUUCCUAGUGUAGCGGUGAAAUGCGUAGAUAUUAGGAGGAACACCAGUGGCGAAGGCGGCUUACUGGACUGUAACUGACGUUGAGGCUCGAAAGCGUGGGGAGCAAACAGGAUUAGAUACCCCUGUAGUC